AAACUGUCAGGCCACAUUAAGCCACAGUACGGAAGAAGCUGUGCAGCCUGUGAGCCCCGUCCAAGGACGUUAAAAGAAGAAGUCAGGCCCAAAAGCCACGGUUUGAGCAAACCGUGCUGCCUGUAGCUCCGUCGUGGGGACGUAAAGCCUGGGAGGCUGCAAACCGUGGAAGCUGUACGCACGGUGUAGCAGACUAGUGGUUAGAGGAGACCCCUCCCAUGACACAACGCAGCAGCGGGGCCCGAGCACUGAGGGAAGCUGUACCUCCUUGCAAAGGACUAGAGGUUAGAGGAGACCCCCCGCAAACAAAAAC
rnacentral:lncRNA from 1 species